GAACACUGGCUCAAACUCAGUGCCCUUGUUGUUGUGAACUUGUGAUCAGAUGAGUGAGGAAGUGCAGGGUGCAAGCAAGCAACCAUGGUUGCUAAGUUAACAGCAAACCCAGCAAUCCAGCUUCCUUCAUCCAUCACUAAUAAUAAUUAAUUAAUUAAUUAAUUAAUUCUAUAAAAAAUAAAAUAAAACACGAUCAGUAACUCAAUCACCAGUGAUGUUGCCAGCUGCAGCUGUACGUGUCCUGCUCCCAGUGUCAGUGUCUGCGAUUUACGUAAUUUAUAGGUAUUUGCGAUCAAGACGGCAAACAGAGAUUUCUCCAAAUACCAGUAACAACGACGUCGUUCCACCCCCAAAUUCCGGUAACAACGACGUCGUUCCCUAUCCUGAACUGUCCGAUCGCGAUCGUACCAUCCUUGAAGAGAUUCUGAAAGAUAACCAUGUCCUCCUCGAUAAGAUUCGGGCACUCGAGCCCGCCUUCCUUGAUGGGCUUCGGAAAAUCAAGCCCGCCGUCCUCCGUGAGAUGGUGUUCGACUCUGCUGAAUUGGAUCCUGUCAUCGUUGAUGCGAUUUGUAAAUUGUCUUUGAAAGGAGGAAAGGAGGAAGGCGAAGAGAACGAAAAUGGAAACGUAAACGAGACGAAGAGCGAAGAGAGGGAUGAGGAAAGAAGCAGAAGCCGUCAUUACCCAGUGAGGCCUGGAGCUCGAGACUGUUGGUGUUAUCUCAAGACUGGGACUUGUAAGUUUGGGCCCAAUUGCAAGUUUAAUCACCCUCGCAUAACAACGAAAAACAAUCAGAAUUCCUUCAGGUCAGGAGGACGACGUUCAAAUCUCUAUGCUACCCCAAAUCCCAGUAACGACGACGUCCUUCCCCCAAAUUCCGACGUUCCCUCAAAUCUCGGUAACGACAACGUCUUUCCCCCAAAUCCCGGUGACCUUGACCGUGAAAAUGGAAAUGGAAACGAGACACAGAGCGAAGAGAGGGAUAAGGAAAGAAGCAGAAUCCGUCAUUACCCAGUGAGGUUUGAAGCUGGAGACUGUUGGUCUUAUCUAAACACUGGGACUUGUAAUUUUGGGCCCAAUUGCAAGUUUAAUCACCCUCGUAGAAGGAAAAACAGGAAAAAUAAUCAGAAUUACUUCAGAUCAGGAGGAUGUAAACCCGGAAAUGCUUUUUCUUUCAACCCCAAAAGGGGGGAACCUUCUGUGGCUCCAGUUCAAAAACUUAACUUUAUGGACCUGCCAAUUCGUCCGGGGGAGAAAGAAUGUCCUGACUAUAUGAAAAAUGGCUCGUGCAAGUCUGAAACUAACUGCACGUUUAAUCACCCUGAUCCUACCGCUACAGGAGAAACUGGCCCCCCAUCCGGAUACAUUGAUGGUGGACCUGCGUCAGUACAAGGUGCAUUGUCAUCAACAGCAUGGGAUUCCCUUUGUGUGCCAAUAAUUCCGCCAUCUCAAGGGAUUCCUUCCCAAAAUACAGAAUGGAAUGGUUCUCAGGAUCCAGAAUAUCUACCAGAGAGAAGCAUACCUGCACCUCCACCAUAUGUUAUGAACAAGGCCGUGACUGAAACCAACAUCUAUGAACAAAAUCCACAGCAGAAGCAAGUUGAAGAAUUCCCAGAACGACCUGGGCAACCUAUUUGCAUUUACUUCUUAAGAAAAGGGGAUUGCAAGCAUAGAUCUAAUUGCAAAUAUCACCAUCCAAAAAAUCAGACUGCAGUACCCCCCUCAUGUGCACUGAGUGACAAGGGCCUCCCUUUGAGACCAGGUGAGAACAUUUGCACACAAUACAGUAGCUAUGGCAUUUGCAAGUCUGGGCCAGCCUGUAAAUUUGACCAUCCGGUAUUAUCAACUUUCCUUCUGUGACUCAGCGACUACAAAUGGGGCAGGAACAUCUGGGAGUAGAAGUGAACUGCUGCUACAAUUCAGCCGCAGCCUGUGUAAUAAGUUUUGCCUGAAAUAGCUGCUGGAGCACAGGAUUCGCAUCACCAAGGACAUGUAAUCUCUUUUUGUUAGUCUUAUAAAUGUAUCAAAAAAUUUCUCCCAGCCACCACCUUUCACUUCUGUUAUGGAUGACUUUUAGGUCGCAAUAGAAAUGUGUACUAUUGACCCCCAAACCAAACGACUGCUAACAAGGGACAGGUUUUUUUUUUC